UCAGAGCGUAGCUAUAAAUCCCAAAGCACUCAGCUUACACCUGAAAGAUGUYUUCUAAACACAAGACYGCCCUGAU
rnacentral:tRNA from 1 species